rnacentral:rRNA from 1 species
UACAGAGGGGGCAAGCGUUAUUCGGAAUUAUUGGGCGUAAAGGGCGCGUAGGCGGCAUGGCAAGUGGAUGGUGAAAUCCCUCGGCUUAACCGAGGAACUGCCGUCCAAACUGCUUCGCUUGAGACCGGGAGAGGUGAGUGGAAUUCCCAGUGUAGCGGUGAAAUGCGUAGAGAUCGUAAGGAAGGCCAGUGGCGAAGGCGAGUUCCUGGACAGUUACUGACGCUGAGGCACGAAGGCCAGGGGAGCAAACGGG